AUAUCAUAGACAUGUCAAUUUUAUUCUGUGCUAUGAUUAAUAUACUGAAUCUUAAUUCUUAAAUCGUAAUAAUUGAAAUUAUAUUAUAAUUGGUAUGGCUUCAAAAAAACAAAAUACACUGUUGAAUUUUUUCAAACCUAAAGAAAAAUAAGAUGAUCCAAUGUUUAUUGUUAAAAAUACAAACUACCCGGAUAACUCGUUGUUGAUGUGUGAUCAAUCAUCAUAAGUCAAUGAUUUAAAAUAUUACAUUAGAAAAUACUAUAGAGCAGAGCUUAAAAUCGGUAGCCGGUUUGUAACGAAAACCAGUAAAAACCGUAAAUUUGAGAAGCAAAAACCGAUAACCAUUUUUAGUUUUGGAAUGCUGGAAGCUGUUAUUGGUUAUGGGUAAUAAGGGACCUGGUUCAUGUUCUAAUGUGUCUAACUAAUUAGUAAUCACUAAUCACCAUCGCUGUAUAUCCUAAAUAUUAUGUUAUAUAGCCAGUCAUUAUUUUUUGUUGUACCAAUAUUCAAUGUUUUAGUUACAUUAUAAUUUAAAACUAAGUAUUUGCUUUUAUUUUAUAUUCAUAAAAAUACAGUAACAAUAAAU